rnacentral:rRNA from 1 species
GAUGAACGCUGGCGGCGUGCCUAAUACAUGCAAGUCGAGCGAACGGACGAGAAGCUUGCUUCUCUGAUGUUAGCGGCGGACGGGUGAGUAACACGUGGAUAACCUACCUAUAAGACUGGGAUAACUUUGGGAAACCGGAGCUAAUACCGGAUAAUAUUUUGAACCGCAUGGUUCAAAAGUAAAAGACGGUCUUGCUGUCACUUAUAGAUGGAUCCGCGCUGCAUUAGCUAGUUGGUAAGGUAACGGCUUACCAAGGCAACGAUGCAUAGCCGACCUGAGAGGGUGAUCGGCCACACUGGAACUGAGACACGGUCCAGACUCCUACGGGAGGCAGCAGUAGGGAAUCUUCCGCAAUGGGCGAAAGCCUGACGGAGCAACGCCGCGUGAGUGAUGAAGGUCUUCGGAUCGUAAAACUCUGUUAUUAGGGAAGAACAUAUGUGUAAGUAACUGUGCACAUCUUGACGGUACCUAAUCAGAAAGCCACGGCUAACUACGUG